GACGGUAACAGCCCGGUAGUUGAAAUGGCUUUCCCUCCAGAGUGGAUCCUGAGUACGGCGGAACACGUGAAAUUCCGUCGGAAUCCGGGAGGACCAUCUCCCAAGGCUAAAUACUCCCUAGUGACCGAUAGUGAACCAGUACCGUGAGGGAAAGGUGAAAAGCACCCCGGAAGGGGAGUGAAACAGUUCCUGAAACCGUGUGCCUACAAGUAGUUAGAGCCCGUUAAUGGGUGAUAGCGUGCCUUUUGUAGAAUGAACCGGCGAGUUACGAUUUGUUGCAAGGUUAAGCGGAAAAAGCGGAGCCGUAGCGAAAGCGAGUCUGAAUAGGGCGCAUAAGUAACAGGUCGUAGACCCGAAACCAGGUGAUCUACCCAUGUCCAGGAUGAAGGUAAGGUAAUACUUACUGGAGGUCCGAACCCACGCACGUUGAAAAGUGCGGGGAUGAGGUGUGGGUAGCGGAGAAAUUCCAAUCGAACUUGGAGAUAGCUGGUUCUCUCCGAAAUAGCUUUAGGGCUAGCCUCGAGGUAAAGAGUCAUGGAGGUAGAGCACUGUUUGGACUAGGGGCCCUUCUCGGGUUACCGAAUUCAGAUAAACUCCGAAUGCCAUGUACUUAUACUCGGGAGUCAGACUGCGAGUGAUAAGAUCCGUAGUCGAAAGGGAAACAGCCCAGACCACCAGUUAAGGUCCCCAAAUAUAUGUUAAGUGGAAAAGGAUGUGGGGUUGCUUAGACAACCAGGAUGUUGGCUUAGAAGCAGCCACCAUUGAAAGAGUGCGUAAUAGCUCACUGGUCGAGUGACCCCGCGCCGAAAAUGUACCGGGGCUAAACAUAUUACCGAAACUGUGGAUGAACCUCUUUAGAGGUUCGUGGUAGGAGAGCGUUCUAAGGGCGGUGAAGUCAGACCGGAAGGACUGGUGGAGCGCUUAGAAGUGAGAAUGCCGGUAUGAGUAGCGAAAGAAGGGUGAGAAUCCCUUCCACCGAAUAUCUAAGGUUUCCUGAGGAAGGCUCGUCCGCUCAGGGUUAGUCGGGACCUAAGCCGAGGCCGAUAGGCGUAGGCGAUGGACAACAGGUAGAGAUUCCUGUACCAGUGCUAAUUGUUUAACCGAUGGGGUGACACAGAAGGAUAGGGAAUCGCACGAAUGGAAAUGUGCGUCCAAGCAGUGAGUGUGAGAAGUAGGCAAAUCCGCUUCUCGCGAAGCAUGAGCUGUGAUGGGGAAGGAAAUUAAGUACGGAAGUUCCUGAUUUCACGCUGUCAAGAAAAGCCUCUAGGAAGAGUAGUACUGCCCGUACCGCAAACCGACACAGGUAGAUGAGGAGAGAAUCCUAAGGUGAGCGAGAGAACUCUCGUUAAGGAACUCGGCAAAAUGACCCCGUAACUUCGGGAGAAGGGGUGCUCUAUUAGGGUGCAAGCCCGAGAGAGCCGCAGUGAAUAGGCCCAGGCGACUGUUUAGCAAAAACACAGGUCUCUGCAAAACCGUAAGGUGACGUAUAGGGGCUGACGCCUGCCCGGUGCUGGAAGGUUAAGAGGAGUGCUUAGCUUCGGCGAAGGUACGAAUUGAAGCCCCAGUAAACGGCGGCCGUAACUAUAACGGUCCUAAGGUAGCGAAAUUCCUUGUCGGGUAAGUUCCGACCCGCACGAAAGGCGCAACGAUCUGGGCACUGUCUCAACGAGAGACUCGGUGAAAUUAUAGUACCUGUGAAGAUGCAGGUUACCCGCGACAGGACGGAAAGACCCCGUGGAGCUUUACUGCAACCUGAUAUGGAAUGUUUGUACCGCUUGUACAGGAUAGGUAGGAGCCGAAGAGACGUGUGCGCUAGCAUACGAGGAGGCAAUGGUGGGAUACUACCCUGGCUGUAUGACCAUUCUAACCCGCCACGCUUAGCGCGUGGGGAGACAGUGUCAGGUGGGCAGUUUGACUGGGGCGGUCGCCUCCUAAAGAGUAACGGAGGCGCCCAAAGGUUCCCUCAGAAUGGAUGGAAAUCAUUCG
rnacentral:rRNA from 1 species